rnacentral:tRNA from 1 species
GCCCAGAUGGCGGAAUUGGUAGACGCGCUAGUUUCAGGGACUAGUAUUGGUAACAAUGUGCAGGUUCGAGUCCUGUUCUGGGCACCA